rnacentral:rRNA from 1 species
GUGAACGCUGGCGGUAGGCCUAACACAUGCAAGUCGAACGGCAGCACAGUAAGAGCUUGCUCUUACGGGUGGCGAGUGGCGGACGGGUGAGGAAUACGUCGGAAUCUACUUUUUCGUGGGGGAUAACGUAGGGAAACUUACGCUAAUACCGCAUACGACCUACGGGUGAAAGCAGGGGAUCUUCGGACCUUGCGCGAUUGAAUGAGCCGAUGUCGGAUUAGCUAGUUGGCGGGGUAAAGGCCCACCAAGGCGACGAUCCGUAGCUGGUCUGAGAGGAUGAUCAGCCACACUGGAACUGAGACACGGUCCAGACUCCUACGGGAGGCAGCAGUGGGGAAUAUUGGACAAUGGGCGCAAGCCUGAUCCAGCCAUACCGCGUGGGUGAAGAAGGCCUUCGGGUUGUAAAGCCCUUUUGUUGGGAAAGAAAAGCAGCAGGUUAAUACCCCGCUGUUCUGACGGUACCCAAAGAAUAAGCACCGGCUAACUUCGUG